rnacentral:rRNA from 1 species
CCUACGGGUGGCUGCAGUGGGGGAUAUUGCACAAUGGGGGGAACCCUGAUGCAGCGACGCCGCGUGGGUGAAGAAGCGCCUCGGCGCGUAAAGCCCUGUCAGCAGGGAAGAAAAUGACGGUACCUGAAGCAGAAGCCCCGGCUAACUACGUGCCAGCAGCCGCGGUAAUACGUAGGGGGCAAGCGUUAUCCGGAUUUACUGGGUGUAAAGGGGGCGCAGACGGCGAUGCAAGCCAGGAGUGAAAUCCGGGGGCUCAACCCCCGAACUGCAUUGGAAACUGUUGGUCUUGAGUAUCGGAGAGGCAGGCGGAAUUCCUAGUGGAGCGGUGAAAUGCGUAGAUAUUAGGAGGAACACCAGUGGCGAAGGCGGCCUGCUGGACGACAACUGACGGUGAGGCGCGAAAGCGUGGGGAGCAAACAGGAUUAGAUACCCUUGUAGUC